UACGGGGGGGGGCAAGCGUUGUUCGGAAUUACUGGGCGUAAAGGGCGCGUAGGCGGCCUUCUAAGUCGGACGUGAAAUCCCUCGGCUUAACCGAGGAACUGCGUCCGAUACUGAAAGGCUUGAAUCCGGGAGAGGGAUGUGGAAUUCCGCGUGUAGCAGUGAAAUGCGUAGAUAUGCGGAGGAACACCGAUGGCGAAGGCAAUCCCCUGGGCCUGCACUGACGCUCAUGCACGAAAGCGUGGGGAGCAAACAGG
rnacentral:rRNA from 1 species